UACGAAGGGGGCAAGCGUUGUUCGGAAUUACUGGGCGUAAAGGGCGCGUAGGCGGCCUUAUAAGUCUCGUGUGAAAGCCCUCGGCUUAACUGGGGAUCUGCACGGGAUACUGUAAGGCUCGAGUUCGGGAGAGGAAAGCGGAAUUCCGGGUGUAGCGGUGAAAUGCGUAGAUAUCCGGAGGAACACCAGUGGCGAAGGCGGCUUUCUGGACCGACACUGACGCUGAGGCGCGAAAGCUAGGGGAGCAAACGGG
rnacentral:rRNA from 1 species